ACAAACUUGGUCAUUUAGAGGAAGUAAAAGUCGUAACAAGGUCUCCGUAGGUGAACCUGCGGAGGGAUCAUUACCGAGUGAGGGCUCGCGCCCGACCUCCCAACCCUGUGAACCGUACCACGUUGCCUCGGGGUGGCCCUCGUCGGCGCCCCAGAGGACAUUCAAUCAAAACCUGCGUCUUUGCGUCGGAGUCUUUAUGUGAAUCAAUCAAAACUUUCAACAACGGAUCUCUUGGUUCUGGCAUCGAUGAAGAACGCAGC
rnacentral:misc_RNA from 1 species